UAAACUAGGAUUAGAUACCCUAUUAUUUUAAAUGUAAAUUUUAAAUACUAAAUUAGUAUUAGUUAUGUUCUUGAAAAUUAAAAAAUUUGGCGGUAUUUUAGUCUAUUCAGAGGAACCUGUCCUGUAAUUGAUAGUCCACGAUAAAGGGCACUUUAUUUAUUAGUUUACAUAUCGUCGUAGUAGAAUAUUUUAAGAGAAAUUUAAUAUUCUAAAAUUUUUAUUAAAAAGUAAAUCAGAUCAAGGUGUAGUUUAUAAUAAAGAAGAGAUGGGUUACAUUAAAUUUAUUUAAAGAUAGUAUUUAGGAUAAAUAUUUGAAUAUGGAUUUGAAAGUAAUUUUAUUUAAUUUUUUAAAAUGAUUUUAGCUCUAAAAUAUGCACACAUCGCCCGUCGCUCUUAA
rnacentral:rRNA from 1 species